AGAAUCAACGCUGGCGGCGUGCCUAACACAUGCAAGUCGAACGCGAAAGCCCCGCAAGGGGUUAGUAGAGUGGCAAACGGGUGAGUAACACGUGGGUGACCUGCCUUCGAGUGGGGGAUAACGUCCCGAAAGGGACGCUAAUACCGCAUGACAUCCUGCCUUUGGAAAGGCGGAGAUCAAAGCUGGGGAUCGCAAGACCCGGCGCUUGAAGAGGGGCCCGCGCCUGAUUAGCUAGUUGGUAGGGUAACGGCCUACCAAGGCAACGAUCAGUA
rnacentral:rRNA from 1 species